rnacentral:rRNA from 1 species
GACGAACGCUGGCGGCGUGCCUAAUACAUGCAAGUCGAGCGAGUCUGCCUUGAAUAUCGGAGUGCUUGCACUCUGUGAAACAAGAUACAGGCUAGCGGCGGACGGGUGAGUAACACGUGGGUAACCUGCCCAAUAGAUCGGGAUAACACCUGGAAACAGAUGCUAAUACCGGAUAACAACAGAUGAUGCCUAUCAACUGUGUAAAAGAUGGUUCUGCUAUCACUCGUGGAUGGACCUGCGGUGCAUUAGCUAGUUGGUAGGGUAACGGCCUACCAAGGCGAUGAUGCAUAGCCGAGUUGAGAGACUGAUCGGCCACAUUGGGACUGAGACACGGCCCAAACUCCUACGGGAGGCAGCAGUAGCGAAUCUUCCACAAUGGACGCAAGUCUGAUGGAGCAACGCCGCGUGAGUGAAGAAGGGUUUCGGCUCGUAAAGCUCUGUUGUUGGUGAAGAAGGACAGGGGUAGUAACUGACCUUUGUUUGACGGUAAUCAAUUAGAAAGUAACGGCUAACUACGUG